rnacentral:rRNA from 1 species
UACGUAGGGUGCAAGCGUUGUCCGGAAUUAUUGGGCGUAAAGAGCUCGUAGGCGGUUUGUCGCGUCUGCUGUGAAAACGCGAGGCUCAACCUCGCGCCUGCAGUGGGUACGGGCAGACUAGAGUGCGGUAGGGGAGAUUGGAAUUCCUGGUGUAGCGGUGGAAUGCGCAGAUAUCAGGAGGAACACCGAUGGCGAAGGCAGAUCUCUGGGCCGUAACUGACGCUGAGGAGCGAAAGCGUGGGAGC